rnacentral:rRNA from 1 species
CCCUUCGGGGUACUCGAGUGGCGAACGGGUGAGUAACACGUGGGUGAUCUGCCCUGCACUUUGGGAUAAGCCUGGGAAACUGGGUCUAAUACCGAAUACACCCUUCUGGCUGCAUGGUCUGGUUGGGGAAAGCUUUUGCGGUGUGGGAUGGGCCCGCGGCCUAUCAGCUUGUUGGUGAGGUUACGGCUCACCAAGGCGACGACGGGUAGCCGGCCUGAGAGGGUGACCGGCCACACUGGGACUGAGAUACGGCCCAGACUCCUACGGGAGGCAGCAGUGGGGAAUAUUGCACAAUGGGCGCAAGCCUGAUGCAGCGACGCCGCGUGAGGGAUGACGGCCUUCGGGUUGUAAACCUCUUUCGCCAGGGACGAAGCGCAAGUGACGGUACCUGGAGAAGAAGGACCGGCCAACUACGUGCCAGCAGCCGCGGUAAUACGUAGGGUCCGAGCGUUGUCCGGAAUUACUGGGCGUAAAGAGCUCGUAGGUGGUUUGUCGCGUUGUUCGUGAAAACUCACAGCUCAACUGUGGGCGUGCGGGCGAUACGGGCAGACUGGAGUACUGCAGGGGAGACUGGAAUUCCUGGUGUAGCGGUGGAAUGCGCAGAUAUCAGGAGGAACACCGGUGGCGAAGGCGGGUCUCUGGGCAGUAACUGACGCUGAGGAGCGAAAGCGUGGGGAGCGAACAGGAUUAGAUACCCUGGUAGUCCACGCCGUAAACGGUGGGUACUAGGUGUGGGUUUCCUUCCUUGGGAUCCGUGCCGUAGCUAACGCAUUAAGUACCCCGCCUGGGGAGUACGGCCGCAAGGCUAAAACUCAAAGAAAUUGACGGGGGCCCGCACAAGCGGCGGAGCAUGUGGAUUAAUUCGAUGCAACGCGAAGAACCUUACCUGGGUUUGACAUGCACAGGACGUGCCUAGAGAUAGGUAUUCCCUUGUGGCCUGUGUGCAGGUGGUGCAUGGCUGUCGUCAGCUCGUGUCGUGAGAUGUUGGGUUAAGUCCCGCAACGAGCGCAACCCUUAUCUUAUGUUGCCAGCGCGUAAUGGCGGGACUCGUGAGAGACUGCCGGGGUCACUCGGAGAAGUGGGGAUGACGUCAAGUCAUCAUGCCCUUAUGUCAGGGCUUCACAC